rnacentral:rRNA from 1 species
AUACGAAGGUGGCGAGCGUUAUUCGAAAUCACUGGGCUUAAAGGGCGCGCAGGCGGACAUGACAGUGUUCUGUGAAAUCCCCCGGCUUAACCGGGGAGUGGCAGGGCAUACUACAUGUCUUGAGUCAAGUAGGGGUGUGUGGAACUCUUGGUGGAGCGGUGGAAUGCGUAGAUAUCAAGAGGAACGCCGAAGGUGAAGACAGCACACUGGGCUUGAACUGACGCUGAGGCGCGAAAGCGUGGGGAGCAAACAGGAUUAGAUACCCUGGUAGUCCACGCUGUAAACGAUGUGUACUAGGUUGCGGGGGUUCUGACACUCUCGCAGUCGCAGCAAAAGUGUUAAGUACACCGCCCGGGGAGUACGGUCGCAAGGCUAAA